rnacentral:lncRNA from 1 species
UACUACUACACACACUGAAUGAAUAGUUUGAUCCUAACCCAACAUAUGAUAAUAUAUUUUGAGUAUGGUUUAGAGAAGAUGUUCAUCAUCUUUGUUGUCUUGGUGGGGAAGGAACAAACGAGUAUGCGCCUGAAAAGAAAAAUAAAGGAGAAUAUAAAAAAAUAAAAAAAAUAGGAGACAGAUAGUCCAAAAAUAAGGAAAAUGGUGGGCAAGUCCUCUUUUGCCCAGAGAAAAAGCCAAAGCUGUACCCAUCAACCUCAAACCAUC